rnacentral:lncRNA from 1 species
UGGGUUUCCCUUCUCAUCGAAGAAGGUUGCCAUGCUGAGUGUUGCCCUCCUCUGUUCGUGAAAGGAUUUUGUCGAUGGCAAAAAAUAGAGUGCAUAGGGCAUUAUUCGCGGGGCUUUAGGGCCCCACAAGUAUUUUUAAAAAAAAAACUAUGUGGACCUGAUGUAUUUGUGAGGCCUGGCAGAGUGUAAACCUAGUAGGGUUCAAAAAUAGAUGCAAAAGGUACAAUUUAAUUUAUUUUAGCCCUUGUUUGAGCAAUAUUCAUUCUAUAAAAAUAUAUUUUUAAAGAGUGAUUUGAUAUCAUUUCAAUCAUACAUUUUUUAAUAAAAUAAUGUUAUAUGUAAAUUAAAAUUUUUUCUUUAUUUUUUAACCACAUAUUUUUUAUCAAUACACUAUUUCAAAAUUUAUUUUUCCUUAAAAUAAGGCACUUAAUCACACAAGAAAAAGCAUGUUUCAUUUUUUAAUAAUAAAUUUGUGGCCAGUAAUGAGAAAACGUCAUUACUAUCAAUGAUCCAAAGUCAACGAGGAUAUAAUAUAAUUAUUCAAUACAUAUUUUAUUUUAUUUAAUUUUUGUCUGGCGAAGGGGCCUGUCGACCUCGUAAUUUCUAAUAUUAUAUUAACUGUUAAAUAAUAAGAUUAAUUUAUCUGUCAAUCUUUAUCUCACCCACUAAUCCUCUAUUGGCUCUGAAUCAGACUAGCACCGGAGAGCCAACAAUGUUAUACCCCACACGAAAAGACCUAAAAAUGUUGUCCUACGGAAAUUUAUGUCACUAAAUUCCUAACCAAGUGACUCACCACGCAGAAAUCUGAUUAGCAUGAAACCAAUCAUUUCUACUCUCUCUCUCUCUCUCUUUUUUUUUUUUUUUUUGUCUCGUACUAAUAUAUAUAUAUAUAUUUUGUCUUAAUUUUUCAACAUAUCUAAUUACCUUGAAAUCUCUUUACUCUUGUGUCUACAAAACUAUUUAGCCCCCGUUUGUUUCUCUUUUUUGGAAGAAUGAGAAUGAAAAAUAUAGUCGCUACGAGUCUUACACAAGAGGUAAAAAUUCAAAUUUAGUGGUUUGAUGUGAUGGAUAAUGGUCAUAUUUUUUAUUUUAAUGAGAAAAGAAUGAGAACCAAACAGGAAUUUAAUUUAGAAUGGAAUUAUUUCUUAUAAACUAAAAGUAGAUUAUUUUGUCUGUUUUACUUAUUUAUUUAUUGGAUUAGGAAGGAGAGAAGCAUUCACCGCUGAGCCAAGAAAUACUUUUGAAAUUCCACAUCAGAAAAUUUCUGUGUAAGAGAUUGGUAACGUACGAAGUGUUUUGCUAUUUGUAUAUCGAAGCUUGAUAACUCGGUGUACAGCCUUAUCAAUCCGUAGCAAAGCCCACAUAGGAAUUCUUGGUUCCAAAUAAUAUCAUCAUGGGUCCCACAAUUGUGCAAGUAGAAUCAGAGCAAAGAAUUAUGCUCUUCUUAUAUGCGAAUAUCCUCUCUUCCUCGAAA